rnacentral:rRNA from 1 species
UUCGGGUACUUAGUGGCGCACGGGUGCGUAACGCGUGGGAAUCUACCCCUUGGUUCGGAAUAACAGUUGGAAACGACUGCUAAUACCGGAUGAUGACGUAAGUCCAAAGAUUUAUCGCCGAGGGAUGAGCCCGCGUAGGAUUAGGUAGUUGGUGUGGUAAAGGCGCACCAAGCCGACGAUCCUUAGCUGGUCUGAGAGGAUGAUCAGCCACACUGGGACUGAGACACGGCCCAGACUCCUACGGGAGGCAGCAGUGGGGAAUAUUGGACAAUGGGCGAAAGCCUGAUCCAGCAAUGCCGCGUGAGUGAUGAAGGCCUUAGGGUUGUAAAGCUCUUUUACCCGGGAUGAUAAUGACAGUACCGGGAGAAUAAGCUCCGGCUAACUCCGUGCCAGCAGCCGCGGUAAUACGGAGGGAGCUAGCGUUAUUCGGAAUUACUGGGCGUAAAGCGCACGUAGGCGGCUUUGUAAGUAAGAGGUGAAAGCCCAGAGCUCAACUCUGGAAUUGCCUUUUAGACUGCAUCGCUUGAAUCAUGGAGAGGUCAGUGGAAUUCCGAGUGUAGAGGUGAAAUUCGUAGAUAUUCGGAAGAACACCAGUGGCGAAGGCGGCUGACUGGACAUGUAUUGACGCUGAG